GCUGCCCCUAGAGGCUUUGCAGGAGAGGCUGCUGUGCCACGAGUGUCAGUAGGCGUCGGAGAGGAGGAAGGCUAUGUCUAGCUAGGUGUUCCGACUUGGAAACACCAGAAUGAUCACGAGCUGCCUUAGUUA
ensembl:snoRNA predicted gene, 22138